rnacentral:lncRNA from 1 species
CGGAAAAACGUGACUUAAAAGACAUUAACUUAACUUGAACUGAAGUCAAACUUAAUAGGAUGGGUGAAGAUUUUCAAUUUUUUUUAAUUUAAAUGGGUCAAUUUAUUUAACCCAUUUGGUGAAAACGUAUUGAAGGAUGUUAAAAUGUUCAAUUUGAUUUUAAUUUGUCAACUCGUUUGUAUUUGAUUUUAUAUUAAUUUUUUAUAUAUACUUUUUAUUCGGCUUUAUAUCCUAUUUAACUUUGUGUUAGCUCUUUGUUUUACUUGUAUUUUAAAAAUAAAAUGGGUUAAAACAUAUUUAAUUUGUUUAUUUAAGACGAAGUAAAUCCAUUUACUCAGCAUGUUUUAUUGGGUUGUGAAAUCUCAAUUCAUUAGAUUAUACAUAUUACAUAUUAGAUAUUAGAUUUGGUUGGGUUGAUACUUUAAGUCAAACUAGUUAAAUUCAAUUUUUAUACAUAGUGUGGUUUGCAGUCUAAGUUGUGGUUCUAUUUCUAUGUGGUUCGGUAUGGUUUCUAAGACCCCAAAACCAAUUGAUUGUAGUUAUAUAUAUUUGGGCUUAUACUAAAUCAAACACAAAUAUAAAGAGGCUUUGUUGUGAGUUAGUGACUAAAAUGUUAGAAAAUAUUGAAACUCCAUUUUCAAAACGAGUUAAGAUAAUAUUUUUGUACCCAAAUAUACACUUCGUAAUUCAUGAAAUUAAUUCUUGAUAAAUUUUCUGAAUAUAUCAAAAUAAUAGCCACAGUCAUAGUGUUAUUAUUACCAUUAAUGGUUUUUUCAUGACAAGCUUAAGAUUUUAAAAGCAUAUAAUAGUAUUAUUUACAUAUUAAAAAAAACAUAUGGAUCAGUCUUUGGUAUGUAGUUUUUACGAAUGGUAUGAUACCAUUUUUUCGUGCGGUAUAUAAUGCAAAACCGUAUCACACCAUAAAUACCAGAUUUUACGAAAUAAGAAAACACAACUUUCCUUAUUUGUUCAAUUUUGCCUUUUUUGUUACAACUUUUUCAAUUUUUUUUUUCAUUUUAUAGUUCGAUUUUUUCUCACCUUAAUAGUCAUUUUUUAUUAAUAUCUUAUUUUUCUUAUAUAAUAAUUGGUAUUCUAUCCUUCAUAUAUACACCCAACAAAUUUUGUUAUCGUUAAUUUUAUUAGCAACUUAAUGUAACCAAUUGUUUACUACAAAAUGUUUUAUUUACAACCAGUUUUAUUAUUUUUAAGAUUACGAAUAACUAAACAAUAUAUUUUUUUUUAAAACAAACUAGGAUUUUAUUAAUUUUAGUAUAUGAUUAUAUAAAAAAUAUAAAAGAUAAUAAACUUAGGGUUCAUAUAUGUUUUUUUGACAUAGUAUUAUUAUAAGUUUAUCAAAUUAUUAAAAUUUUUAUUUUAAUUCUUACAGAAUACAACUCAAUAAAAAUACGGAUAACAUUCUGACAGAAUGAGAAUAAUUAAGAAAAGUGUAUAAUAAUCUUAUAGACGAUUUAAUUAGUGAAAAUGCUUAAUAAUUAAAAUAAUUAUAUAAGAUUGAACGUAUUCAUAUUAUCAAACACCAUAUUUUCUUUGUAAUUAUCACAGAAUAACAUUAUCCACACGUCCACACAAUAGAUGUCAGUCCACAUUUGAACCUCUCUCUCUGUAUAUAUAUAAUAUAAUCAUUAUUGUGUUUUUUAAUAAAUAAAAAUAAGNUAUAUAUAAAUAUAUGACAAUUUUGUAAAAUAAAAAGAAUAAAAAGUUUGACAAAAUUUAUAACAAAAUUUAAAACUUGAGACCAAAAUAUAAAUAUGCAAAUGACUAACAUUUCAAACACAUAAACCCUUACUAAAGACGGUUUAAAAAGUUUGUUUCAUAAAGUAGUAAUGAUCCUCACACAAAAGACUAUCUCCUUGCAUAAAUUGAUACAAACUAAAACAAAGAUGUCCAAAUAUGCAUUCUAAGUUCUAACCAUAUUUUUUUUUCAAUUUAGUAAGAUAGUUAAACAUAAAUACAUAAAAAAAAUAUAAAAUAUCUAACAAUUUAAUUACUUGAUGCAAAACAGAUACACAAGCACAACAGAUCGGAGUAUGCAACGGCCGGCUAGGCAAAAAUCUUCCAUCGGAAGAAGAGACAGUAAACUUUUACCAGAGGAACGGCAUAACCAGGAUGCGAAUCUACGAUCCAAAUCCAGUCACUCUCCGAGCCCUCCAGAGAACCAACAUCGAACUCAUACUUGACGUUCCAAAUAUUGAACUUGAGUCCCUCACAAAUCCAUCCAAUGCAAGAACUUGGGUUCAAAACCACAUUCAAAACUACCCCGAAGUCAAAUUCCGGUACAUCGCCGUCGGAAACGAAGUCGACCCAAACAGUGAUAACACUGUUAACCGACAAUAUGUCACCUUCGUACUUCCGGCGAUGCAAAAUGUUCACCGAGCUAUUGUAGACGCGGGAUUAGAUAAACAAAUCAAGGUCUCAACAGCAACCUACGCAGGUCUGUUAGAGAACGCAUAUCCUCCAAGCGAAGGCGUGUUUUAUAAAAACGUGACUAAUACAUUUAUCGGGCCGAUUAUUACGUUUCUAGCUCAAAACAAUUUGCCAAUGCUUGCCAAUAUCUACCCCUAUUUUGCUUGUCAGCGUAGCGCUGAUGUAAAUCUCCAGUAUUCAUUGUUUACAUCGGGUCCAUUAGUGCCAGAUAAGGAUUUAAUGUAUUCUAACCUUUUUGACGCCAUGUAUGAUGCUCAUUAUGCGGCUCAAGCACGUCUUGGUGGAGAGAAUGUGGAGAUUGUUGUGUCGGAGAGUGGAUGGCCGUCGUAUGGUCAUCGUGUAGCGACACCGGAAAACGCCAGAACUUAUUAUCGGAAUUUGAUUGCACAUGUGAAACAGAGGAACGGGACACCGGCGAGGCCUAGAAGAUUUAUAGAGGUGUAUUUGUUUGCCAUGUUUGAUGAGAAUUUGAAAACUGGAGAUGUCGUAGAGAGGAAUUUCGGGCUUUUCUAUCCCGAUCAACGAUCCAAGUAUCAACUUGGCUUCUGAUUACCAAAUCCAUUAUAUAGUCUAAUUAAUGGGUUUUCUGUAAUAUUUAAUGAAUAAAUCAUGUAAUAAAAAACUCUUAUUGCUUGGAUAUUUCAAUUUUACAAUACAUAUGUUAUUAUACUUUGGACAUCUCAAAUUUAUAUAACUUUUGAUAUAAACAAUGAUGUAAAUCAAUUCCACAUCAACAUUAUAUUUUUACGUAGAAAUGGUGUUAUGAAUAAUGUCACAUUAAAUUUGGUGACUUUUUUAGUAAUUAAGGGGGUGUUUUGAUAGGGAAAAAAUAUGGUGUUUAUUGCUUAUUGCUUAAUCUCAUCGCAAUAAACAAAUUUAAGUAUUUUGAUAGAAGUUUUUAAAAAUCAGCUUAUUGCAGUAGGAAUAAGUUAAAUAAACUGAUUUUAAUAAGCAAUGGGGGAGUGUUUAUAUUAUUGUUUAUUGGUUAUUUUACUCAUAUAAGUUGUUUUGUUUGCCAAACACUUAAAAAUUUUAUUGUUUAUUGCAUAUUUCCACCGCAAUAAACUAAUCCAAACACAUUUUUAAAAAAUGUUUAUUCCCACCGCAAUAAGCAAAUAAGCAAUAAGCUAAUAAACUAAAAACUAUUCAUCCAAACACCCCCUUAACCAAAUUUAAUAUUGAUGUUUCAUCGUUUUAAAAUCGAUCAUUCAAGUUUAAGUAUAUAACCCUAAAGUUUCAUGCAGCAACUUCAUUUGCUUUUGUCAAUUGAAGCUACCAGCAACUUCAUUGGCAUUUUUGCGUUUCAUUCUCGUAUAUAUGAUCAUUAUAAAAGACAUAUUCAAGAGCAUAGUAUCAGUAUAACUCAACUCAAAUAUAUGGAUUAUAAAGCUGUUGGAGAUGAUAAUCCACUUCAAAACUACCUUAUAGAAGAUAUUGUAUAUUUUCAUUGUUAGUUUGUAAUAUUCAUAUAAAUAUUUCAUAUAUUAAUGUUAUUAUAUUUAUAGGUUUAUGAGUAAUUGAAUGUGCAUACAUGCACCUACCUGUAUGAAUAUCCUUUGUGAAAUUAUAUUUUUUUGUAUGGAUGUACAUAGUAACACACAACCACAUAAAAUCCAUAGUUUUUUAUGUCCUUGAUUGUGUAUGUGAUGUAAUAUAUCAGAGUAAAUUACACGAAUGGUCCCUAUGGUUUGGGUUAAUUUGUAUGUUUGGUCCCUAACUUAUUUUUUUUUAACUCGGAAAGUCCCUACUGUUUGUUUUUGUUACGCAUUUGGUCCCUAUCUUACCUAAAAAGACUAUUAUUUAGAUAGGGAAAAGUGGUGGGGUAGGUAAGGUAAGGUGAGGGGGUGGGGUGGGGUGGAGUUGGGGUUGUGUUUAUUUAAAUAAAUUAAAAAAUCAAGGGCAAAAUAGUUUUUUAGGUAAGACAGGGACCAAACGCAUAACAAAAACAAACAAUAGGGACUUUCCGAGUUAAAAAAAAAUAAAUUAGGGACCAAACACAUAAAUUACCCUAAACCAUAGGGACCAUUCUUGUAAUUACUCAAUAUAUUAACAAAGUUCAUAAUCACUUGAUUGUUUACUCAGAAAGAUAAUGUCAAAGAGAAAUAACCAUCACGAUUGGCAAUUGGUUGAGAAGGUACCAAACAGGUAAUUUUUGUAAGACCAAUAUCUCAGCAAAAGGAAAAACAUGAUGCGAGAAAUUUUCUUUAAAAAAAAAACCAAAAGGCUUAUAGUCUAACGAUAUUAAAAGUUACCUGAAAUGUGUCCUAUCACCCAAGGGUAGAGGGAUCGAGUCUUACAUGAGACAAAAGAUAUAGAUUUAAAGAAUAAAAGAUAUGUUUUAUUAGCCGUUUAAAAAAUAAUUACAAAAGCAAGAGUUAGCAAAUGGGGUGGGUGAGGUUAUGGAUGGUUCUUGCAAUGAAUUUCAAACUUAAGAACCAUCUUUGCAAUAAAUUCUUUAUAUGCUAAUUAAUAAUAAUAAUAAUAAUAAUAAUAAUAAUAAUAAUAAUAAUAAUAAUUAACCAAAGACAUAGUUACAUUUUUAACAAUUUGGUGUAAGUGACUACUUUGUAUUUUUAUAAUUAGAUUAGAUGAGACAUAUUUGAAAGAAAAAAAAGAUCGAACGCUUAUAUAUUGUCCCUUUUUAUUAAUUCUUCUACUAAUGAUUUUUUUGAACAUGAUCAUGAUUCAUGAGUGAUGGCAUGUUCGGAUUUUUGUUCAUUGAUGAUACGGUGUAUAUAUAGAUUUUCGGAAGGAGUUUCAUUGAUACGCAUCUCCGAUAUCGUCCCUCCGACGUAACUCUCUGCAUUCAGGUUAAGAAUGUGCAGUUUCCGAUUCCGAUCAUCUCUCGUAUUUUCUAUCUAAAAUCCCCUUGUCCGAGAAAUCGAUGCCAUCCCUAAAAGUAAGAAUUUCACCCCUUUAUUCGUCCUUCACGUCAUAUGGGUUUUCAUUCAUUUGUGUUUGGGUAUUUGAUUAACAUCAAUGUGCAUUCUUCUAAAGAUAUAAUUCUGAAUUUCGUAACCGUUUCAGGUUUCUGAUUCAAUGGCAUAGUUUUGAUGUAAUUUGAAUUUUGAAAUGCUUUAAUAUGUUCUCUUUCGUUUUGCUAGACAAGUAAAAGCUGGAUUUGGGGAUUCCAUCUGUGUUGUGGUUUAGAGAUUGUUGUAAAUGGAGAAAGACGAAUCUCAAAACCUUAGCAGGAGUCUCUUGCCACCUUCCGGUAGAACUCCAUGUUUUCCAGUAGCCGACGGAAACAAAGAAAAUUUGAAAACAGAGCAGUCAGGAUCAGCUAUGUUCAUCACAAAUGGGCCUGUAAUCGCCAUUGAAUUUGGUGAUUUCAGUCAUGAUAUAAGCAGAAUGCCUGAUUCCCCACCCAAGAACAUGGGCCACCGGCGAGUGCGUUCUGAAAUUGUUACUCUACUCGAUGAUAUCACCUUCGGUAGCGAUCUUGGUGUUGUAGGUAGCUUCGAUGGUCCUUCAUACUCCGAGAAUGAAGAAGAUUCAUAUUCUAUGUACCUUGACACCGAUAAGUAUAAUUCUUCAUCGGCAACAUCUGGUUCUCACCUCCCCGACUCAUCUAACGCCGCCCAAAUUUCAAACUCAUCAACAGCACCACCGCCGGAAAACCAUGUCUCUAGCUCCGACGACAGCUGUAGAUUUAAACAUACACAUAGUUUCUCCAUGGAUGGUCUUUCCUCAGGUCCAGAAGAGACAUCUUCAAUCGAUGCUAAGAAAACAAUGUCUGCUGCUAAGCUUGCUGAACUUGCUCUUGCUGAUCCAAAACGUGCAAAAAGGUGCAAAAUGCACCCUUUACUUAUUCUAACUAAAAAAAGUGAAAAGACAAAACUACCCUUAUAACUUGGUUUUCUUUUUUCCCUUUUAUUAGAAUAUGGGCAAAUAGGCAGUCUGCUGUACGAUCAAAGGAAAGAAAGAUGAGAUACAUAACUGAGCUCGAAAGUCAAGUCCAAACACUCCAAACACAAGCAACCUCACUAUCUGCCCAAUUAACCAUUUUACAGGUUUGUGGAGGGCAUUUACGUCUUUUUCAUAAUCCAUAUAUUAGAGAUCAAUAACUAGUCCCAUGUUCUACUUUUUGGAUUAAACAAAAAGUUACAGUUUUUGUCGUAUGACUAAACAAUUCAAUACAUCUCAAACACAAUAUAAGACUGUCAAACACAGCACAAGACUGUUAUAUUCUGUAUUAUUAAUUUUGGUUGUACCGUUGUUAGAGAGAGACACACGGUUUAUUGGCGGAAAACACCGAACUAAAAUUGCGGUUACAAGCCAUGGAGCAACAGGUUCACGUACAAGAUGGUAAGUUCUGAAGAAAAAAAAUUUGAUAAAAGAAAAAAUUACAAAUUCGGUCCCUAUACUUUACUCAAAAUCAAAAUUUUGGUCCAAUCUUUAAGUGCUUUAUGCUAAUUGUUGUUGUGUUUAGUUUUAAAUGAAGCAUUGAAGAAGGAGAUACAUCAUCUGAGAGUAGUUACAGGACAAAAUGUCAUUAAUGGUGGUCCGAUGAUGAACUUCCCACCAUCUUUCAGACCAAACCACAAGUUCCACCACCCCAACAACCACCCCAUGCACACACUCUUAACUGCACAACAGAUUCAUCAACUUCAAAUUCAGUCACGAAUGCAACAACAUCAGUUUCAACAGCAACAGUUCCACCAAUUUCCGCAGCGGCAACACCUCCACCAGUCUCAGCACCACCCAUCUCCGCCACAGCCGCCAGGACAGCGGUUGCCGGAAAAUAGUGAUUUGAAAAAUAGCAGCUCCUUGUCAACAUAGAAUCUAGGUUGGUGAAUAGGGUGGAUAUUUGGGUAAUUCUUCUUAAAUUUUAGAUGGAAAAUUGGGCAAUUUUGCAUAUAUGAUUAUAUAUGUAUGUGUAACUUAUUAUUUAAAACUCAUGAUUUUGUAUAAAAAAAGUACAACAAAAAUCAUAGAUUUGUGCCCUAAUUUCAUACAAACACGAACUUGAAUCUAUAAAGUUUAUCAAAGUACUAAAUAUCGAAUCUAGAAACAUUCGAUUAACACGUGACAAUGACAAAGGAUAAAAUCAUAAAAUCCCAUUUGUUCUCGUUUCUUGAUUUUCCACGUAAAUUUCAAGAACUGGUUUACAUUACUGAGUAGCCGGGCCCACCUCCACCUUCUGGAACUGUCCAUUCAAUGUUCUGCUUCGGAUCUUUAAUAUCACACGCCUGAAACUCAAAAAAAGAAAAUCAAUAAUCAUAUACCAAUUUUCCCAAAAAAAAAAUUAGUUAUUUAAAAAAAAAAAAAAAAAUUUGUCAAACCUUGCAGUGCAAGCAAUUCUGAGCAUUAAUCUGGAGCUUCAAUUCACCCUUGUCAUCCGCAACAUAUCUGAAUUUACACAAAAAAAAAUAUUAAAAAGAAAAAUCAAAAGUGAGAUUAUUUAUUAAUUAAAAAAUGAAUAGAAAUUUUUUUUAGUUCUUACUCAUAUACACGAGCAGGGCAAUAUCGGGAUUCCGGAGCUCCAUAUUUUGGCAAAUUUACAAUUUGAGGAAUUUGUGGGUCCCUCAACCGAAGGUGAGGUGGCUGAUCAUGAUUAUGAUUUGUAUUGCUCCUAUUAAACAAAACAAAUUUAUACAAAGAAUCGUAAUAAUAUAAAUUUUAUGUAAUUUUUUUUUUUAAGAUUAAUAUUUAAUUACCUAUAAAGAGAAGUUGGCACAUCAAAACUAACAAUCCCAUCUGGCUUUGGGUAUUCAAUCGGGGAGCUUACACUUGCUUCCUGUGUACAUAACCAUUUAUUUAUAAAUAAAUAUUAUUUUUAAACAAUUAUUUUUUCAAAUACUUAUAAAAAUCAUUUAUCCAAUUCCAAACAACACUUUAGUCUUUAGCUUACAUGUGUUGCUUCAUGAUCUGGUUUUCCAUGCUUUAAGGUAAAUGGGGCUCUUCCUUUAAGUAAAUAGCUGUAAAUGUGAAUAUAAACAAGUGAAAAUUGAAAUUUCAUCACAUGUUUCACGUGUAUAGAAAGUUUAAAAAUAAAAAUAAAAAUAAGAAGGAAAUCUUACUGUUCUAGACCACUUAUAGCCAAACCAGUAAAAAGCCCAUGCUCAAACGCCUACAUAUGUUUGCAACAUUUUUUAUUUUUAAAAUGACAAAAAAGGAACAGAAAAAUAAAUAAAAGAAAAAGAAAAUAAUAAAAUAAAUGUUUUAUUUUACUGGGCGAUAGUUGCGUGCUUGAUAAAGCUCUUCCCAUAUCCAUGAUUUUUUUAAACUUUCCCAAUAAUUUUUCAUAUUUGAUCCUUUAUUAAGUACUUCAAAGGCAGAUUCUGCUGCUAACAUUCCUAUAAUAAUAAAAUAAAUAUUUAAAAAAUAUUUCAGAAAAAGACUGCAUACUUGGAAAAACUUAAGGGAAAGACAAACAAGGGCAAAUUUGUCAAAAGUUAGGACUUAAUAAAGAAAGCGGAAAGCCUAAGUUCCCUGAUUUCUUUUUUCCCUUUGUAUGUGUUAAAUGACCAUUUUACCCUUACAUUGAGAAAUUUUUUUACCUGAUUUCAUGGCAGUAUGUGUACCCUUUAUUUUUGGAACAUUUAAAAAGCCAGCUGCACAUCCAACAACUGCUCCCCCAGGGAACACUGGAUAUGGAAUAGACUGAAAAUUAAUUAGAAUUAUCAAUUAUAUAUUAUUCGCUUUAUCAUAAUAUAAUCAUAUAAUAAUUAAAAAUAUAACAAAAUAAACAAUAUAAGUUUUAAAGUAAAAUCAUGAUAUGCACCUGAAAACCACCUUCAUUCAAAGUCCGGGCCCCAUAUUGAACAACUGUCCCAUUUUCAAGAAGAGGUCUGAUUGCAGGAUGACCUUUAAGUUUCUAUAAAAAAAAUGUGUUACAAAAAAUAAAAAAAUAAAAAAAUAAAAAAUAAGUUGUGAGUUUAAAAAAGUUACCUGGAAUUCAUCAUAAGGGCUGAAAUAAGGGUUGUGGUAAUUCAAAGCACAAACUAAUCCAAUGGAAACCUGCAUACAGAUGAAAGGAAUGGAAUUAACAAUUCCAUUCCUUUUGUCAAUUUCAUCAUAAUACCAAAUGGUGGAAAGAGAUAUUAUUAAUUAUUAUUAUUAUUAUUAUUAUUAUAUUUAUUUACUUGAUUAUCUUGCAUAUGAUAUAAAAAAGAUCCUCCAUAGGUUUUGUGAUCCAAAGGCCAACCUAAAGUAUGAACAACAGCACCAGGUUUAUGCUUUUUGGCAUCAAUUUCCCAAACCUAUUAACAUUUUUAAAAACUAAUUAAUCUUUUAAAAAAUAAAUUAAACUGAAUAAAAUUGGUAAUUAUGAGUUUAUGACUAGAAUCAUAGCUUACCUCUUUAAUUCCUAAUGCAUAAGUUUGAUGUUGCCCAUGUCCUUUCUCUCUUAAAUUGUAUUUCUUUAUUAGUUUCUGUUAAAAAAUUUCAGGUUAAAAAAAAUAAAAAAAAAAGAAGUUGGAUUUUUUAAAAUGUAGAAGUGAGGAUCAAUAUUUUUUUUUUCAAUUUAAACCUCUGAUAGUGCACCUCGACAUCCUUCAGCAAAAAGAUUAAUACGCCCUGAAAAUAAAGAAUGUUAGAAGGGUAAAAUGGUCAUUUACUCAUAUUCAUACAAAAAUGCUACCUUUUAAUUCUACACCAGGCUGAAAAGUAUCUUUUUUAGAGCCAUCUUUCCCAAUUCCCAUGUCAUUAGUUGCAAUUCCAAUAACAUUUUCAUUUUCAUCAAAUAAAAUCUGUAUGAAUAUGAAGCUUGUUAUUCCACACACACACACAAACACACGAACACACACACACACACACACACACAGCGUUACCUCUUUAGCUGCAAAACCUGGGUAUACUUCGACUCCUAAUUCUUCAGCUUUCUGUCCUAACCAACGUACAAAUUGGCUUAAACUGAAUCAAAAAAUAUCAGUUUAGUAAGAUUUAAGAAAGGUUAAAAUGGUAAUUAGUGAAAAAAGAAAGUAUUUAAUUACCUUAUAACAUAGUUUCCUUUAUUAUCGAAAGGAUUUGGCAAUGGGAUUGCAUGCUUUUCUGUAAGUAGCAUGAACUUAUCAGAAGAAACACUGACACUAAUUGGUGUCUGCAUAAGCGUUUGAAUAUAUACAAAAAUGUCCACAUAAAAGUUAUUUGUUGAAAUUAACACAAAGCACAUAUGAAAUCUUGUAAUUAUUGUAGUUAUAGAAGAAGCAAUUGAGAAAUUAAAAUGUUACCUCUUCGUCUCUCCAUUGUGGGAUGAGUUCGUUCAAUGCACGGGGUUCAAAAACAUUUCCCGAUAAUAUAUGUGCACCUGUAAACAAUUAUGAUUGUGAUUACGAUUUGAAGAAGCAAUUGUCGAUUUAAUGAUCUUUGUUCCAAGAUGAUGAUCAGAAAUUUGACAAUUCGCAUAACAAUUGAGCAUUUCAAAAGUAAACUCUGCGAUUUAAAAGAGGCAAAAGGUAAACCAAGCAUACCUACUUCUGCCCCUUUCUCCACAACGCACACAGAUAAGUCUACAUCAUUUUCACGGCAUAAUUGCUUCAAUCUUAUGGCGGCGGAUAAGCCGGCCGGACCUCCUCCGAUGAUAACCACGUCGUAAUUAAUACAAUCACGAACUGUUUCGCUACUGAAUCCCCUUCUCGAUACCGAAAACCCAAUUCUAUUUAAAUUAGACACUCUAAAUUGGGUCGAAUUUAACUGAUACCCAGAUGAAAAAGAUCGAUUGAAACCCUUGAACGAAGUUGGGGUGAUCUGAAACCAUUUUUGCCUGGGGGAAAUGUGUUUUGAUGGUGAAAAAGGUGGCGCUGAGGGAUCGUGGUAGCAAUAGUUGGUGGAAUGAAGUGAUAUCGAUAUGAUUUUUCUUGACUUUGACUUUGAGGGGGAAGAAAUGAUCUUUCUGAACAUUAUGUAGUGGAAGAAGUGUUCCAAGAUGAGAGAUUUCCUGCUCCGAGGGAGUUUUAGAGGGAAGAAAUUGCCGUUUUAUAGUCUGAAAGAACGAAAUAGUCUUCCUUUUUUCUUUGAAUAUCCGUAUGUCAAUGUUACUUGAGCCGGAAAAAGUGUUAAAACAAGAAAAAAAAAUGAUAUUUUCAUUUACUGAUCGGAUUGGAUCAGCACGUAAAUCAAACAAAGCUUUUUAAAUAUCUUACACGUUUCAUUUGUCAGGAGGAAAUCAUAUUUAAAGGGAAUAUAUAACAAAAUAGUCAUCGCAAUCGCCAACGUUUUGUAAUAUAAAGUUCCAUGAUAUCUUCAUAUUGAUUGUUGGUUCCAACAUGUUCAACUGGCUUGGAAUGAGCUUUGAGAUGCAGCUGUCCAAAAAGUUUAUGAUGGUAUUCUUAAGCUAAAGAAAGUCCUUAGUACGAAAAAUAUACCAAGGUGUUCACCAUGAGAGAGAGAGAGAGAUGAAUGGCACCGAAAAAACUUAAUUGUUCAAAUAUUCAAGUAAGAAAAUGUUGGGAUGUGAAGUCUUGAUCAAAAUUGUCGGGGAGUGAAAUCUCCAUUGAUGAGAGAGUAAGAAAGUGUUGUCGGACAUAGAAAUCACGCCACGUUGCUAGGUAUCAGAAGAAUAUACUGGAUAGUUGCAGAAUGCGCUUGACACUUGGAGAAUGUGUUUGGCACUUGGUAAAUGCAUUAGGCAUUUGAUAGGAGUGUUGGGCACUUUUAAAGGCGUUGUCUAGCUGCUAAAUGUGCUCCAACAGCCACAAAAUGCAUUGUUGGAGCUAAAAAGGUGUUGUUAGGUCUUGAGAACAUACUCUUAGAUGUAUGGCAAGUGGCUAUGUACAUCCCUCAAAAUAAGGUUAAAGAAUCUAUAAGCGGUUGAUCCCAUUUAGGGCUUAAUUAAGGGUAGACAUGACCCAUUAGAAUUAGGGCAUCCAUAUGCUUGCCUAUAAUUAGGCACUCUUAUCUUCAUCAACAUUUGUGAAGCGUAUGGCGCAUAGUGUGUGUGAAGCACGCACAAAUUUCAAGAGAGCAAUCAUUGUGAGUUUGAGAUCAUAUUUUUUUUAGAGCAGUUUGUUAGCAAGAUAGAUUCAUUUUCUUUAAGAGUUCAAGUGAGUUGCAACCCCCUAUGAGUGAUUUUAAUUGUUUUUGGAAGAUUAAUAAAAUCCUCUCUCUCUCUACAUAGAUGUAGGUUAAAUCAACCGAACCACGUUAGAUAAUAUGUUCAGUUUUACAGUUUAUCAAAAGCUUAUUCCACAUGUUUUACAUAAAUUGUUUAUCAAUUGUCACUUUAAUUUGUUUUUGUUGAAUCCCGAACAUGAUCAUAUGUACAUCUACACUAGAAUAAAUCAAAUAUAACCAAAUAGAUAGGAUAACCUCAAACUUGUCGGUUUGAACGCCCUUUUUUUCUUUUUGGUGUUCAUAGAUUGGCAAUAUUAUCAUCGAUGGUUCUUUGGUAUUUUCCUAUUUCCAUUCAAACUUUUUUUUCUUAUUUUCCUAGUUUUCUGCAUUCAAUUGCAAUCUCUAAGUUAUUCAACUUAUAAAUGCAUAAUAUUUAGAAGAAAAAAAAAGACAGAAACAAAUCAACAAACACAUCUGAAUGGCUUAUUACAAUCAACAAUUUAUAUGAACCCUCAUCAAGGGUAAGGUAGAGUUGCGAUAUGAUUAUGAGCAACCGUGCCAAUCCACAACAUCCCAUUAGCUUCCCUAACUUCACUAACCAGUUUCAUCACUACACCCUCCUUGUCUUCAAGAACAUCCAAGAUCUUCCCAUGUUCAUCAAAAAGAGAUAUCACUGAGUACAUUUUCAUUCCCAUUAUUCGAGCCAAAUAACGCAUUUGAAAUGGCAAACGAAAGUACACACUCCUCAUCCAAGGGUUAUUUGUCAAGAUUUCUUGAGCUUUUGUCCUGCAACAAUCAAUAGCUACCCAAAACUGGCCUUGAUCGUUUAUUCUUAUAUUGUCGGGGAAACCAGGUAAGUUUGCCACAAGUUCGACUUUGCCUUUCUUUUCACCCUUUAACCAUAGUUUCAUAAGCCUAAACAAAAUAAAAAUCAAAGUAUACUUGUCAUCGCAUAUACUUAAACAGUUCUUAAUAUAGUUAUAUAAGGUAUUAAUUUGAAGAAUUGAUAAGAUUCAUCUAAAAUUAGUACCGACAGUUUGUAGUCUCGGUGAACAAAAGAAAAGAUUCGUCCUUCGACAAUUGAACCCCAUUCGGGAAAGCCAAGCCAUCUAAUACAACAUGAGUUGACUUUGUUGGAGGGUCAUAUCUAAGUAGUCUUCCACUUGCCUCCCCUUCCAACAUUAUAAAGAAAUGGUUCCUAAGCAAACCCAAGUUAUCAUAAGAUCAAAAAAAAAUGUGAAUAUAUUAAUAACAUCUGACAUUUUUUACUUGAUUAAUUAGUCGAUAGAAAACGUGUCUUCCACAUGGACCAAAUGUAUAUCAAGCAUUUAGACCAAAGAAUAAACCAAAAAUCCGUAAAUGAGACCAAUGUAUAAAAAAGGUUAUAGAACUCACACUCUAUUGUACUUCUGGCUGGUGUCUGUGAAGAAGAUAGAUCCAUUACUAUGUAUAUCAAGGUCAUUUGCAAAGAGUAUCGGCUCUCCACCCAUAUGGGUGGACAAUGGUGUUGCUAAGCCACCGUCAGGACCAACCACCAUAAGCCCAUAGUACGCAUCAGCAAUGUAUAAAUUUCCGCUACUUUUAUCAAACCUCAAUCCUAGUGGUCGUCCACAUAAUGCUUCCAUUUUCCAUUGCUUGUAUGUCGUUGAGUCUUUUCCGGUCAUGCAUAACUUUUCUGACCUUUUGACGUUUCGAAUUAAGCAUGAUAUAUGCAUAUAUAUUAUAUGCAUGUAUGCAUGUAUGUAUGUGUGUGUAUGUUUCUAAUAUGCAAAUAAAAUAUUUGAUAACUUACCAAUCUCGCGAAACAAGAGCGAAUGUUACCCAUCCUCGAUCUUCGCCUGCCCACUUCACAAUCCGACCAUCAGCCAUACCAGUAUAGGGCCCAUUUCCCAAUGGAUCAAAUUCCAAGGACUCGGGUCCAAACACUUUAUCCACAUGUUCCAAGUUCCCAAGCCCUAGCCGGCUAAGAUUGUCUGCUGGCCAACUCUCCAUCACUUGGUCAUAUGGUGCAAUAUCGUUUUUCACAGGUCGGAAAUCAUGUCCACCAACUGGACUCAUGUCAAAAGGAUCCAUUAUCAGAAACCCUAAAACAAUAGCAAGAAGAAGAACCAAAUGUUGUUGCAACCGGCCAUCUACCUCUUCCAAACUCUUUUUCUUCUCCAUAAGUAAAGAAAAGCCCGACCGAAUGGAAACGGUCGGAAUGAAAGUUGUGAUAUGGGUUUGUAGUUUGUAUAUGAAUGGAUUUAUGUUGUAGGAAUUACUACAUGCACUUAUUGUGAAGUUAUAAUUGGUUGAGUUUAGGUUGCCUUUUGUUGCUCAUGAAUUGUGCAUUGGUUCUUGUUGUGUUCUUUCUCAUGUAAUGUGGUUCACCUAUGUCACUUUGCAACUUUUUCUUGAUCUUGACCAUUUCUUCGCAACUUUACUUUUUUUUUAGGUAAAUAUAUUUUAAUUAAACCAAUUCUGCAUUUCGCUUAUAUGUAAAAUAAUAACAUACGGCAUUAGUUCUCAUCCAUAACUGAUGCAUGUUCGUUACUUUAUGUGAAAUAAUAAUAUCUUUUUAGUUUUUCCAUUUCACACAUAACUUUUUGCAUCUUAAUUAGAGAUGUGUAAAACUUGGUCCACAUCGACGAAAAAAAAGGAUUAGAGCCCUAUGUCUUCACUUCAGCUCACCAUUCUCGACUUAUAAAAACUGACAAAAUGCAUAAAUGAUCUAUGUGGCUUAUCAAAUAUCACAAACUAGUCAUUGCAAAAAAUUUGACGAACAUGGUCCUUGUGGUUUCCAAAACUUGCAUAAAUGGUUCUUUUUGCUCACAUGUUACUUUUCCUCCAUUAGUGUGAGAGUAAUUUGGUUUUUUCAAGUUUAGUAGGGACUGAGUUUGUGACCAUAUGUAACCAUAGGGACUCUUUAUGUAAUUUUAUAUAUAUUUCAUGUUUAUGAAUUUGUGACUUUUCCACCCUUUUACUUUUUAAAAUGUCAUUUUGACCCCAUCACUUUGAACUUUAUAAAAUGUUACUUCACCCCUCCAUUUUCUAAAUUUUGGUAUUUAUCAUCGUAGUAUAUAUAAUCUGAUUUUCCUUAAUAACCUCCCUUCAUUAACCUAAAAAAACUAAUUUUUUCAUACACAUUUUUAUAUAUGUGUCGGUAUAAAUUCAAUAACUUCAAGGCGGUUAACAUUUCAACGUAAAUUUAGAACUUUCAUUUGUUAAUUUUUUUUUAAAAAAAACUUACGUGCUUUUUUAUGUAUGUAUCGGUUUAAAUCCAAGUUUGUCUACAUUUCUGUAACAUCUAUUUUUCAGGUAUUUGCUUUAAGACCCUUGAGUUAUCAAAUGUUUGCAAAUUGGGUCCUAAGGGCAAUUCCGUGAUAUUUUGGUGCAGCUUGAGUACGUUGAGCGUACUCAGCCUCACGCCAGUGCGUUACGCGUACUCCUGUACAUCGGGCGUACGUGGUUCAGACCAAAACUUUAAUAUGUAGGGUUUGUGCACUAUUUAAGAAUUAUUAUAGCCCCAAGACCUUUCCUUUUAUCAGCUUCCAUCCCAAGAUCGACCCUUAUUGCAAACCUUAUUUCAUUUUGAGCUUUUGGAGUGAGUUGUUUGUUUCCUUGUUUGUGAAGAAGGACCUUCAAGGAGUAGUUUUACUCUCAAGACUUUGGAUCCAACAUCUUCUCUUCAUUGUGCAUUAUUUGGAGGUAUAAAGCUCCAAACUUGGCUUAUGUUUCUUUAGAUCUUAGUUAAGCCUUGAUUUUCAUCCUUUUUGUCCCAAACCCAAGAGCUUGGAGAGUAAGAGGUACUCCAAAGCCUUUAACAUGUCCUUCCAGAUGUUCUAAGGCAUUUUAAGUAAUAAAAAUGCAAGCUUGGACCUUUAUUUGUCCCCAUGCAAGAGUUAGGGUGUAGAAAAGGUUUAAGUAAGCUAGGUUUUUAGUGUUAGGCUUCUUGUUGUAACAUCCCGAUGAUAAGGUACUUCUAAUUUUAACCUUAUAAUUGAAUCAUAUUGCAUUGUGGUCCCUAAAUAGAAGAAAGUGUGCAUUGGAAGCCCUGGUGGCAUUUUCAUAAUUUGGGAAGGUUGGGGAGUAUGCCAUGUGUAUGUGUGUACGCUUAGCGUACUAAGGCUCGCCUUAGUAGGCAGGGCAUACAUAGGUACGCAGGGCAUACGUGCCAGGCAUGCAAACCCUAAUCUUUAGGGUUUGGCUCCUAUUUAAACCCCAUUAUAGCCUCAUUUCCCCUCACCUCAUCAGCCUCCAUCCUCUUGAUACGUUUUUGCAACCCUAAUCCCCCUCGUGAAGCAUUCUAAGCUUUUGUGUGGGUUUUUUUGUAACACCCCGACUCCUAGGUAUAAAUUUUAAAGUUUUAUAUUUAUGUUUUUAGACCUACUCGACGAGUUGGAUGCCCUAACUCGUUGUGUAGAGAAGGUUAAAGUCGCGUAGAUUCUAGAAUCUAUUCGACGAAUUGGGGGACCCAACUCGAUGAGUUGGAUCUGGAAUGUGUAACCCUAAUUUCCAAGGUUUUGCACCAUAUUUAAAGGCUCAUUAGCCACCCUCUGCCUCUCUUAUCGUCCCCCUCAACCUCAGAAAAUGCUAAUCGUGUAUUACUCCUCAUUUUGUGUGUGUAAAAGCUUGGAAUGUGGUUUUAGUGGAAGAAACUUGAAGACUCAAGAGCUUUGAUCAAGGAGAAGCUUGUAGAUCCAGUACCUACUCCGUCUUGGCUUUCAUUUGAAAGUAACAAGUUGUUACCUUGAUCAUUCUAGUUCUAGAUCUCCUUAUUCAAUGGUUUAAGGCCAUUCUUAGCAUAUUUGUGGGUCAUUUAUGGUAUUGGGCAUGAUCUGAAGUUGUAACUUCAGAUCUUGACUCCUCUAAGUCCUCAUAGUCAUAAAGUUAUCGAAUUUAUCAAGCUUUGGCCCUUUUCUUUGGAUUAAACCUCUUCUUUAGCUUGGUUUUGGCAUUUUAGGCCUUGCAUGCUCGUAAAGUGUGCAACUUUACAUGGUAACCAUGCCCUAGGAGGCUAGAUCUACAAUUUGGAGCCUUGGUAUUGCUUAAGAGCGUCAGAAUAAGAAAAGGACUGAAGGGAUUCGACGAGUUGCAUGGUCAACUCGUUGAGUCGGAUGAAGAUGGCCCGUUUUUGGUUCUACAUGGACUCGGCGAGUCAGUGAGAUGACGCGAUGAGUUGGUUAGGGUUUUCCCGACAUUUUGGACACUGCAUGGACUCGACGAAUUAUCUUGAAACUCAGCGAGCCAACUAGGGUUUUCACGAUUCUUGAGUUCUGAAGAAACUCGACGAGUCAGUGGCUGUACUUGACGAGUUGGGUCAACAUGGACUGUUGAUCUUGACCGUUGACUUUAACAUUGACCAAGGGUUAACCGGUUUGAAUUCUGGGGGUAUUUUGGCAAUUUGGGUAUUUAUGGUACUUGGUCAUUGGUGGUUGUAGGUGUUGGUGUUUGGAGCCAUGUUUCGGAAGUUUGAUAUUUCAGUUCUGAUCGACAUUGUGAGGUGAGUUGUCCUCACUAUAAUAAUAAGGUCGAAAGCACCAUUGCCAGCCCUUUUCGAAUUUGUAUCCGGGUUUAUUGCAUGAUGAUAUUCUUAGUGACAUGUUAGGUCAGUAUCUUGGUAUAUAGGAUAAUGCCAUGUUAGUGACCUAUUAGGUCGGUAUCCUGGUAUAUAGGUGAUGAGUUAUGAAAAUUCUAACACCCCUAAGUGUACAUGCAACCCUAGAAAACCUUGGAUCUAUGUUUGUCUAAAAAUACAUGCAAAAUUUGAUUUCCAAGGUUCAUAAUCUUAUCUAGCAUACAUAGGGAACUUUUAACAUAAAAGAUGGCUAGAAUUACAUACCUUGUAGUUGAUUUGAUUCCUUGAAAACCUUGAGAGCCUAGCACCCCAAGUGUGAUGCCUCAAAUGUUUCACACAACACCAAGUGCUUUGGAAUAACUUUGAGAGAAUGUAGAACACUUGCAAAAUCGGCUUGCCUUCUCUAUCUUGCUUCUAGUGCCGAUUUUGGUGAGCUUCAUAUCCUUUUUAUAGUGUGUUACAAUUAGGGUUACACCAUGUAAACCCUAAUGUAACAUGGCUCUUCAUUUCCAUGACCCAUGGGUUUGUAACUCCCAUGUAGCAUCCAUGGAGCAUCCUAUGGACCUUAGCCUAACUUGAUAAUCCAUGGAGCAUCUAGCCCAUUGUACAAGUUAUGGAUGAUUUACAUAAUCAACCCAUAUAUUUAAUUAGUCUUCUUUUGAUCACUUAAUUAAUUCGAAAUUAAUUUUUGAUCAAUACUAAUUAAAUAAUAUUAUUAAUAUAUUAGAACUUAUAAUAUAUUAAUAAACCACAAGUGUUAUUUCUCUCAUUUUAGUUUAUCCAAAUGCAUGAUGCCAUGCAACCCAAAUGGACCUUGCCGGGUCGAGUCAAGUACAUACCAAAUAUAGUUAUGGACUUAGACACCUUAUCCAACAGUCUCCCACUUGGAUAAGUCUAAUAACUAUAACUUCAAGUGUGACUUUAGGAACCGAUCAGCAAUCGUAGCUCUUUCAAGGUCUCUCGGAACUAAGAAGAUGAUGUUACGCCAUUUAAGAUAAGUGAUCAUANAAGAUGAUGAUACACCAUUUAAGAUAAGUGAUCAUAUAAUCCUCUGUUCUAGAUAUCAUCCGGACAAAUACAUGGAACAAUGUCUUACUUAUUGUCCAACAGUUUGUUUCCCGAUUUCCGAUUUGUUUGACAUAGAACUAAAUUGAACACAUCAAUUCGGUUCUGACCGGGCCUGGUACAUAGCUCAAAACAAAAUCAUCGAGAGGCCUAGAUAUCGCUUCUAAUCCAAGAAGGAACAGAUAAACUUUGACUCAUAUGCCUGUUCUACUACUUGUUGAAUCACACACAAAAGCACAUUUUAUAACAUCGAGUUACCAAUGCGGUUUCGUACGAUCAAUGCAUAACCAACUCAUAGGCAACAAGUCAUAUCUCUAGGUUUGAAGACUUAUAUGAUAUUACCAUCUCACGAUCACUCGAGAUAAAUUCCAUGAAGUGAUACCAGUGAGCGUGGGUUGAAUCCAAUACUCAGAACUUAUGAGCACUCAUGAGUAUUGUAGCAAUGUCCAACAACUUAGAACUUUGCAACCAACUCAUGACAGUCUUGAUUCAUACCUAGUUCCAACAUAUGACCGACUGUGGAGAAUUCGAAUAAUAUGAUAUACCAAACAUAAUUAUUCUGGAAGUCAAAACAUGCAAAAGAAAUAUAGUAAACGAUUGACAAAAGAUAGCAACACUUUACUCAUAAAUNUAUUCAUCAUCGAAUGUCAAUUACACUUUAAAAUUUUCAAAAUUAUCUAACUACUAAAACUAAUAUCAUCCUUCAGCCCUAUGCUCCGAGCAUGCUGGAGAUGCUUAACCCGACUCAUUCCCUUCGUGAGGGGAUCUGCUGGGUUCUCAUAUGAUGGUACCCUCUCUGCCACGAGGAGUCCUUCUUCUAUUCGAUGUUUGAUGAAAUGGUAUUUUCUGUCGAUGUAUCUAGAUCUCCCAUGAUCCCUUGGUUCCUUGGCUCAGGAUACUGCACUUUCACUAUCACAGAAAAUUUCCAUUGCCUCUUUUAUAGCUGGUACAACUCCAUGGUCUCCAAUGAAGUUCUUCAGCCAUAUCGCCUCUUUUGCUGCCUCGCUUACUGCUAUAUACUCUGAUUCGCAAGUUGAAUCAGCCAGUGUCUACUGCUUGGAACUUUUCCAAGUAAUUGCUCUUCCGUUUAAGGUAAAGACCCAGCCUGACUAAGAGCGGAAAUUAUCCCUAUCAGUCUGAAAGCUAGCAUCACUAUACCCUACAACUCUCAAGUCAUCACUCCCACCGAGGGUAAGGACCCAGUCCUUAGUCCUCCGCAGGUACUUGAGGAUAUUCUUUACCGCAGUCUAGUGAGCCUUGCCAGGGUUCCCCUGAUAUCUGUUGACCAUGCUCAAGGAAAAAUCCACAUCAGGACGAGUGCAGGUCAUAACAUACAUGAUCGAGCCUAUUGCAGAAGAAUAAGGUACUCGACUCAUUUCUACUAUCUUAGCCUCAGUACUCGAGCUCUGAGUUUUACUCAGUUUGGCGUUACUCUGAACGGGUAACUCACCUUUCUUGGAAUCUUGCAUGAUGAACCUUUUCAGCACCUUAUCCAAGUAGAUACUUUGACUAAGUCCAAUUAGUCUUUUACUCCGGUCUCUCAGAAUCCUUAUCUCUAGAAUAUAGGCAGCUUCUCCUAGGUCUUUCAUAGAGAAACACUUCCCAAGCCAGGACUUCACUUACUGCAAGGUUGGGAUGUCAUUUCCUAUGAGUAGUAUGUCGUCCACAUACAGUACCAAAAAGCUAACUAUGCUCCCACUAGCCUUGACAUAGACACAAGAUUCAUCUUCACUCCUCGAAAAGCCAAACUCUUUGACUUUCUCAUCGAAGCAAAGAUUCCAUCUGCGAGGUGUCUGUUUCGAUCCAUAAAUGGAUUUCUCGAGCUUACACAUUCUAUUAGGGUAUUCUGUACUGACAAAACCCUCUGACUGACACAUUUAAACAUCCUCAGCCAAGCUUCCAUUAAGGAAGGCGGUUUUGACAUCCAUUUUCCAUAUUUCAUAAUCAUGAAAUGCAGCGAUGGCUAACAGAACCCUAAUGGGCUUAAUCUUUGCUACUGGUGAAAAGGUCUCAUCAUAAUCAGCUCCCAGAGUUUAAGAAAAGCCCUUUGCAACCAGCCGCGCCUUAUAUGUGUACAUUACCAUCCAUGUCGGUCUUUUUCUUGAAGAUCCAUUUGCAACCAACUGUCUUACGACCUGGUACAUUGUCAACCAAGUUCCAAACUGGAUUGUCAUACAUGGACUGUAUCUCGCUGUCCAUUCCCUCUUUCCAUUUAGCAGACUCGGGGCCUGUCAUGGCUUCCGCGUAGCUGUUAGGUUCAUCCAGACUUACCAAUGUCUCAUCACUGAUAAGUGUCUCACCUUCCGCAGUAAUAUGGAAACCAUAGUAGUGCUCAGGUGCAUUCCUAACCCUUGUGAACGCCUCAGAGGUACAAACUUGUCAAUUGGCUCAACAAGAGUUUCAUCCUCAGGUUGAGUGCUAGGGAUUGAAGUUCCUCACCACUUGAAUCUUGAAUUUCUUCAAGGACAAUUUUCCUCCCACUGUUUCCUUAGAUUAUGAACUCUCUCUCUCGAAAGACACCCCUCCUUGCUACAAAGACCACAUUGUCACUAGGUCUGUAGAAGAGGUAACCAAAGGAUUUCUGUGUGCAACCGAUGAAAAUACACCUCUCACUUCGAGGUUCGAGCUUAUCAUGAGUCUCGCGUCUCACGAAAGCCUUGCAACCCAAAAUCUUGAUGUGGUCUAGUUUGGGAACUUUACCAGUCCACAUCUCAUGAGGAGUUUUGGCAACUUUCUUUGUAGGGUCCAGAUUAAGGAUAUGGGCGGCAGUCUCUAAGGCAUACCCCCAAAAUGAGAUUGGUAGCGAAGCUUGACACAUCGCGGAACGAACCAUAUCCAACAAGGUUCGAUUGCGCCUCUCAGCCACACCAUUAAGGUGUGGUGUCUUGGGAGGUGUCAAUUGUGAGAUAAUCCCACAUUUCUUAAGAUAGUCAAGGAACUUUGUACUAAGAUACUCACCACCACGAUCGGAUCGAAGCAUCUUAAUGUUCCUGCCUAAUUGAUUCUCGACUUCCUGUUUAAACUCUUUAAACCUUUCAAAAUUCUCUGACUUAUGCUUGAUUAAAUAAACAUAUCUAUAUCUACUAUAAUCAUUAGUAAAAGUCAAAUAAUAUUGAUUAGCAUCCCUUGUGGUAGAUUUGAAGGGUCCACACACAUCUGUGUGUACCAGAUCCAACAAACCUUCACCCCUAGCACAAGAACCAGUGAAGGGUGAUUUUGUUAUUUUUCAAGUAAGCAUGAUUCAAAACUAUCAUCUGACUUUAGGUCAAAUGACUCCAAGACUCCAUCUUUUUGGAGUUGGCCUAUGUGUUUCUUUCUCACAUGUCCAAGACGACAAUGCCAUAAUGAUGCUUUAUGCCAAAGAAAAUGUGACUGGAGAGCUGCUAAGUUUGCAGAUGAAAUCUGGAAAGAACAAGGGUUUGACACUACAUUUGAUGGAACCCUGAUCAACUCAUGGGUAAACCCAACCCGUAGACUUAUGGAUGUUGAUUGCAUUCCUUAUCUCACAUAUGCAGAACCACCAUCAGGAUGGCUAUUGGGAUAUUCUAGUUUCUCCAAAUUCCAAGCAUUUCCCAGUCUUUCAGCCUCUUGAUCUCAGCAUUCCUGAUGACAAAAGACUCCUCAUGGAGUUUGAACAAUUGAAACUCUUCCAUGCAAAACACGGUGGAAAGUUUGAGAACGUCUGGUCCAAUGAUAUAACAGACGGGGUGAAGAACUACAAACUUAGAAAAAUCAUGAAAUGUGAAUUUUUCCAACACACCCUGACCAGAAAAGGAAGUGAGUACAUCAGAAGUCAAGCUGACUUUGUGUGCAUGAAUCCCGAAGAAAUCUUCUUGAUAGCUCAAUUUUUUCAGCUGAAGGCAGAAAAGUACCCGAAGAUGAAAAUUGGCUUUCGAAAGGGCCUGUGAAUUCUUUAAGGCUUUGGUAUGUGAUUUUAGAAAAAUCGAUGCUGAAAUACAUCCUCCCCUUGCUAACAAAUUUGAUUUUCCUCCCUUCGAGCAUGUGUCAUCCAUCACUAAAUGUUUUCAAGAAAUGACCCUUGGUGCUACAAGCUACCCUGAUCUAGGGAUCGUGUACAAAAAUAAUCAAGAUGGUCGAAAAUACUUCAUUUCGGUAACCGUAAUCCACCGCCUAACAAAUAAGCAAUUGGAUGUCACUCUGGCUUCAGUGCAAAGAUCAAAGCACAUAACUGAUGAAAUCAAGUUCGAGAUUACAAGAAGGAUCCAGUGGCUUUUCAAAGUUAGAAAAUUUUCAUGGAUCAUCAUCAAGUUCCUUAAAAUAAAUAAGUGAAGAAAAUAGAUGAGAUGUCACUUUGGGGGAAAUUGUUGAAAAAAAAAGUGACCCUCUUCAGCUAAAAGGAACCGCAGACUUUUGCAUUGAUGAUACCGUAGCGAGAUACUACCAGAGACUAUUUUUGUUCUUUAUGACCCGCAGAGUUGAAGAUGUACCGCAAAGUGGAUUUAUGCAUGAAGAUAGUUUAAGUUACUUUACUGACACCGCUUGUAUUCCGUGUAAUAUCCGGUGAACCAUUCAUGGUCACCGUAGUCAGUCACUUUUAGAUUAUUUUACUCUUUGAUGUAACUUUUGGGACUCUAUAAAUAGAGCUUCCCACUUCAUGUAAUCCUUACCAAUUUAUCAAUUAUCAACAAUCAAUCGAUCAUUGAAUGUUUAUCAAUAUCUGAUUAUUCAUCUCUAUAUCUUAAGUUAUCUUAACUAAUAUGUAACGCCCGCAGAUCCGGGAUAGUCAAUUUAGAGGCAAUAAGUGUCGAAAACGACUUUUCGGCAAAAGAUUAUUUACAAUAAAUAGUCUUAACCAAGUUUUAGAAUAUGUCACAAGAUUUCCGUACAUAUAAAGAAUGCCGAAAUCCGAGUUAUAACGAAGAAGUUAUGGCCCGUCGAAGUUUCGCGAUGGAACCGGCACGACACCGGGAAGCGUAAAUUGUGAAUUUACGAUAGAGCGAGAUUUAGCCUUAGAAAUAUAAACUGAAGUCUUAGAAUAUGUCAAACUAAGAACGUCGAUAAAAAGAACGCCCAAAUCUGACUUCGUAUGAGGAAGUUAUGAUUUUUCGAAGUUUCGGAUUAGCAGUGUACAACCCGAAAUUCGAAUAACAGACCGAG